UACAGAGACUGCAAGCGUUAUUCGGAUUCAUUGGGCGUAAAGAGCUCGUAGGCGGUUUGUCGCGUCUGCCGUGAAAGUCCGGGGCUCAACUCCGGAUCUGCGGUGGGUACGGGCAGACUAGAGUGAUGUAGGGGAGACUGGAAUUCCUGGUGUAGCGGUGAAAUGCGCAGAUAUCAGGAGGAACACCGAUGGCGAAGGCAGGUCUCUGGGCAUUAACUGACGCUGAGGAGCGAAAGCAUGGGGAGCGAACAGG
rnacentral:rRNA from 1 species